rnacentral:rRNA from 1 species
GACGAACGCUGGCGGCGUGCUUAACACAUGCAAGUCGAGCGGUAAGGCCCUUUCGGGGGUACGACGAGCGGCGAACGGGUGAGUAACACGUGGGUGACCUGCCCUCAGCUCUGGGAUAAGCCUGGGAAACCGGGUCUAAUACUGGAUAUGACUCCAUGACGCAUGUUGUGGGGUGGAAAGCCUUGUGCGGCGUGGGGAGUGGGCCCGCGGCCUAUCAGCUUGUUGGUGGGGUGAUGGCCUACCAAGGCGACGACGGGUAGCCGGCCUGAGAGGGCGACCGGCCACACUGGGACUGAGACACGGCCCAGACUCCUACGGGAGGCAGCAGUGGGGAAUCUUGCGCAAUGGGCGAAAGCCUGACGCAGCGACGCCGCGUGAGGGAUGACGGCCU